rnacentral:rRNA from 1 species
CCUACGGGUGGCAGCAGUGGGGAAUAUUGCGCAAUGGGCGAAAGCCUGACGCAGCGACGCCGCGUGAGGGAUGAAGGUCUUCGGAUCGUAAACCUCUGUCAGCAGGGAAGAACGGUCACUGUGCUAAUCAGCCGUGAAUUGACGGUACCUGCAAAGGAAGCACCGGCUAACUCCGUGCCAGCAGCCGCGGUAAUACGGAGGGUGCGAGCGUUACUCGGAAUUACUGGGCUUAAAGCGCUCGUAGGAGGUAUGUCCAGUACAGGGUGAAAUCCCCGCGCUCAACGUGGGAACUGCCUUUGAAACUGGCAAACUGGAGUGUGUGAGAGGAUAGUGGAAUUCCAGGUGUAGGAGUGAAAUCCGUAGAUAUCUGGAGGAACAUCAGUGGCGAAGGCGACUAUCUGGCACAUAACUGACGCUGAGGAGCGAAAGCGUGGGUAGCAAACAGGAUUAGAUACCCGUGUAGUC